rnacentral:rRNA from 1 species
GGCGCGUGCCUAUACAUGCAAGUCGAACGAACUCUGGUAUUGAUUGGUGCUUGCAUCAUGAUUUACAUUUGAGUGAGUGGCGAACUGGUGAGUAACACGUGGGAAACCUGCCCAGAAGCGGGGGAUAACACCUGGAAACAGAUGCUAAUACCGCAUAACAACUUGGACCGCAUGGUCCGAGCUUGAAAGAUGGCUUCGGCUAUCACUUUUGGAUGGUCCCGCGGCGUAUUAGCUAGAUGGUGGGGUAACGGCUCACCAUGGCAAUGAUACGUAGCCGACCUGAGAGGGUAAUCGGCCACAUUGGGACUGAGACACGGCCCAAACUCCUACGGGAGGCAGCAGUAGGGAAUCUUCCACAAUGGACGAAAGUCUGAUGGAGCAACGCCGCGUGAGUGAAGAAGGGUUUCGGCUCGUAAAACUCUGUUGUUAAAGAAGAACAUAUCUGAGAGUAACUGUUCAGGUAUUGACGGUAUUUAACCAGAAAGCCACGGCUAACUACGUGCCAGCAGCCGCGGUAAUACGUAGGUGGCAAGCGUUGUCCGGAUUUAUUGGGCGUAAAGCGAGCGCAGGCGGUUUUUUAAGUCUGAUGUGAAAGCCUUCGGCUCAACCGAAGAAGUGCAUCGGAAACUGGGAAACUUGAGUGCAGAAGAGGACAGUGGAACUCCAUGUGUAGCGGUGAAAUGCGUAGAUAUAUGGAAGAACACCAGUGGCGAAGGCGGCUGUCUGGUCUGUAACUGACGCUGAGGCUCGAAAGUAUGGGUAGCAAACAGGAUUAGAUACCCUGGUAGUCCAUACCGUAAACGAUGAAUGCUAAGUGUUGGAGGGUUUCCGCCCUUCAGUGCUGCAGCUAACGCAUUAAGCAUUCCGCCUGGGGAGUACGGCCGCAAGGCUGAAACUCAAAGGAAUUGACGGGGGCCCGCACAAGCGGUGGAGCAUGUGGUUUAAUUCGAAGCUACGCGAAGAACCUUACCAGGUCUUGACAUACUAUGCAAAUCUAAGAGAUUAGACGUUCCCUUCGGGGACAUGGAUACAGGUGGUGCAUGGUUGUCGUCAGCUCGUGUCGUGAGAUGUUGGGUUAAGUCCCGCAACGAGCGCAACCCUUAUUAUCAGUUGCCAGCAUUAAGUUGGGCACUCUGGUGAGACUGCCGGUGACAAACCGGAGGAAGGUGGGGAUGACGUCAAAUCAUCAUGCCCCUUAUGACCUGGGCUACACACGUGCUACAAUGGAUGGUACAACGAGUUGCGAACUCGCGAGAGUAAGCUAAUCUCUUAAAGCCAUUCUCAGUUCGGAUUGUAGGCUGCAACUCGCCUACAUGAAGUCGGAAUCGCUAGUAAUCGCGGAUCAGCAGCCU